UUCAUAGCUUAACUGAAGAGGUUGACAAUUUGAAAGACAUAAUAUCUCAAAGGGAUCAGCAAAUUUUAGAAAUUCAAAAACAAAAUUCACAAAGAGAUCUAGAUAUGGUUGAAAUGCGUAAACAGCAAGCCUUUCUUUUACAACAAUUUCAACAAUUUAGAUCGGGUUCAAGCUAUAUUCCUCCUGGUAUUGGUGAUGAUGCUAAUGACGAUGAUGAUGUCGAUGAUGAUGCCGCCGAUGAUGUUGAUGAUGAUGCAUGAGUGUUUGGUUGGUAGGUGAAGAUGAUGGUGGUAUUGAUGUAAAAAUAUGUAGAAGAAGGAUUUGGACUGAGAAGGAUCUCCAUAAGAUUAUCUUCAACUCUAUCUUUUUCAUGUUCUUGUAUGAUAUUGGAAUUUGGAUACUAUGACAUGUUUGUUAUAACUUUA